rnacentral:rRNA from 1 species
UGACUGCGUACCUUUUGUAUAAUGGGUCAGCGACUUAUAUUCUGUAGCAAGGUUAACCGUAUAGGGGAGCCGGAGGGAAACCGAGUCUUAAUUGGGCGUUAAGUUGCAGGGUAUAGACCCGAAACCCGGUGAUCUAGCCAUGGGCAGGUUGAAGGUUGGGUAACACUAACUGGAGGACCGAACCGACUAAUGUUGAAAAAUUAGCGGAUGACCUGUGGCUGGGGGUGAAAGGCCAAUCAAACCGGGAGAUAGCUGGUUCUCCCCGAAAGCUAUUUAGGUAGCGCCUCGUGAAUUCAUCUCCGGGGGUAGAGCACUGUUUCGGCUAGGGGGCCAUCCCGGCUUACCAACCCGAUGCAAACUGCGAAUACCGGAGAAUGUUAUCACGGGAGACACACGGCGGGUGCUAACGUCCGUCGUGAAGAGGGAAACAACCCAGACCGCCAGCUAAGGUCCCAAAGUCAUGGUUAAGUGGGAAACGAUGUGGGAAGGCCCAGACAGCCAGGAUGUUGGCUUAGAAGCAGCCAUCAUUUAAAGAAAGCGUAAUAGCUCACUGGUCGAGUCGGCCUGCGCGGAAGAUGUAACGGGGCUAAACCAUGCACCGAAGCUGCGGCAGCGAACGUAUCACCCAAGACAACUUUACGGAGUUGACGAUUGACGGAGCGAAGCGACGUCAAAGCGUUCAUUAAAGUCGAGUUGGCUUAGGGAUACGUUCGUUGGGUAGGGGAGCGUUCUGUAAGCCUGUGAAGGUGUGUCGUGAGGCAUGCUGGAGGUAUCAGAAGUGCGAAUGCUGACAUAAGUAACGAUAAAGCGGGUGAAAAGCCCGCUCGCCGGAAGACCAAGGGUUCCUGUCCAACGUUAAUCGGGGCAGGGUGAGUCGACCCCUAAGGCGAGGCCGAAAGGCGUAGUCGAUGGGAAACGGGUUAAUAUUCCCGUACUUGGUGUUACUGCGAAGGGGGGACGGAGAAGGCUAUGUUGGCCGGGCGACGGUUGUCCCGGUUUAAGCGUGUAGGUGUGUGUUCCAGGUAAAUCCGGUUCACUUUAACACUGAGGCGUGACGACGAGGCACUACGGUGCUGAAGCAACAAAUGCCCUGCUUCCAGGAAAAGCCUCUAAGCAUCAGGUAACAUCAAAUCGUACCCCAAACCGACACAGGUGGUCAGGUAGAGAAUACCAAGGCGCUUGAGAGAACUCGGGUGAAGGAACUAGGCAAAAUGGUGCCGUAACUUCGGGAGAAGGCACGCUGACACGUAGGUGAAGUGAUUUACUCAUGGAGCUGAAGUCAGUCGAAGAUACCAGCUGGCUGCAACUGUUUAUUAAAAACACAGCACUGUGCAAACACGAAAGUGGACGUAUACGGUGUGACGCCUGCCCGGUGCCGGAAGGUUAAUUGAUGGGGUCAGCGCAAGCGAAGCUCCUGAUCGAAGCCCCGGUAAACGGCGGCCGUAACUAUAACGGUCCUAAGGUAGCGAAAUUCCUUGUCGGGUAAGUUCCGACCUGCACGAAUGGCGUAAUGAUGGCCAGGCUGUCUCCACCCGAGACUCAGUGAAAUUGAACUCGCUGUGAAGAUGCAGUGUACCCGCGGCAAGACGGAAAGACCCCGUGAACCUUUACUAUAGCUUGACACUGAACAUUGAGCCUUGAUGUGUAGGAUAGGUGGGAGGCUUUGAAGUGUGGACGCCAGUCUGCAUGGAGCCGACCUUGAAAUACCACCCUUUAAUGUUUGAUGUUCUAACGUGGACCCGUAAUCCGGGUUGCGGACAGUGUCUGGUGGGUAGUUUGACUGGGGCGGUCUCCUCCUAAAGAGUAACGGAGGAGCACGAAGGUUGGCUAAUCCUGGUCGGACAUCAGGAGGUUAGUGCAAUGGCAUAAGCCAGCUUGACUGCGAGCGUGACGGCGCGAGCAGGUGCGAAAGCAGGUCAUAGUGAUCCGGUGGUUCUGAAUGGAAGGGCCAUCGCUCAACGGAUAAAAGGUACUCCGGGGAUAACAGGCUGAUACCGCCCAAGAGUUCAUAUCGACGGCGGUGUUUGGCACCUCGAUGUCGGCUCAUCACAUCCUGGGGCUGAAGUAGGUCCCAAGGGUAUGGCUGUUCGCCAUUUAAAGUGGUACGCGAGCUGGGUUUAGAACGUCGUGAGACAGUUCGGUCCCUAUCUGCCGUGGGCGCUGGAGAACUGAGGGGGGCUGCUCCUAGUACGAGAGGACCGGAGUGGACGCAUCACUGGUGUUCGGGUUGUCAUGCCAAUGGCACUGCCCGGUAGCUAAAUGCGGAAGAGAUAAGUGCUGAAAGCAUCUAAGCACGAAACUUGCCCCGAGAUGAGUUCU